UACGAAGGGGGCUAGCGUUGCUCGGAAUCACUGGGCGUAAAGCGCACGUAGGCGGACUCUUAAGUCAGGGGUGAAAUCCUGGAGCUCAGCUCCAGAACUGCCUUUGAUACUGGGAGCCUUGAGUUCGAGAGAGGUGAGUGGAACUGCGAGUGUAGAGGUGAAAUUCGUAGAUAUUCGCAAGAACACCAGUGGCGAAGGCGGCUCACUGGCUCGAUACUGACGCUGAGGUGCGAAAGCGUGGGGAGCAAACAGG
rnacentral:rRNA from 1 species